UACGGGGGGGGUAAGCGUUGUUCGGAAUUACUGGGCGUAAAGGGCUCGUAGGCGGCCAACUAAGUCAUACGUGAAAUCCCUCAGCUUAACUGGGGAACUGCGUGUGAUACUGGAUGGCUUGGAUUUGGGAGAGGGAUGCGGAAUUCCGGGUGUAGCGGUGAAAUGCGUAGAUAUCUGGAGGAAUACCGGUGGCGAAGGCGGCAUCCUGGACCAUUACUGACGCUGAGACGCGAAAGCGUGGGGAGCAAACAGG
rnacentral:rRNA from 1 species